AUUGAACGCUGGCGGCAGGCCUAACACAUGCAAGUCGAACGAGUGGCGGACGGGUGAGUAAUGUCUGGGAAACUGCCUGAUGGCGGGGGAUAACUACUGGAAACGGUAGCUAAUACCGCAUACCAUCGGAUGUGCCCAGAUGGGAUUAGCUGGUCGGUGGGGUAACGGCUCACCUAGGCGACGAUCCCUCGCUGGUCUGAGAGGAUGACAGGCAACACUGGAACUGAGACACAGUCCAGAAUCCUACGGGAGGCAGCAGUGGGGAAUAUUGCACAAUGGGCGCAAGCCUGAUGCAGCCAUGCCGCGUGUAUGAAGAAGGCCUUCGGGUUGUAAAGUACUUUCAGCGGGGAGGCGUUACCCGCAGAAGAAGCACGGGGUAACUCCGUGCCAGCAGCCGCGGUAAUUC
rnacentral:rRNA from 1 species